rnacentral:lncRNA from 1 species
GUGGCAGAGCUGCCUGGCCUCAGGGAGUUGUGCCCAGGCCCUGCCUGCCUCUCUGCCUGGUAGGAGGGGCUGGGGCUCCAUGCAGGACGUCCUGGUCUGAGGUGGGGUGACUUCACUCCAGGGCAGCUAUGUCAGACUGGGACGGAGGACUGCCUUCGGGUUUUCUCCCACAGACGGAAAUUCAAAGCCAACAGGCCUCUCCCCGAGAGACUGCAGACCCAGGCCAAGGUUCCCAGGAAAUGGCCAGCUCACCCUGUCUGACAAGUGACCUCUCCUGACAAGUGGCCAAUUGAGUUUCAAAACAACAGUGCCACUGACUAAAAGAAAAUUGCCUCUUUAAAAAAAAAUUGUAUUUAUUUAUUUUUGGCUGUGCUGGGUCUUCGUUGCUGUGAGGGCUUUUCUCUAGUCGUUACAAGUGAGGGCUACUCUUUAACUGUCAUAUGCAGGCUUCUCAUGGCAGCGGCUUCUCUUGGGUGGAGCAUGUGCUCUGGGCAUGGGGGCUUUAGUAGUUGUGGCCUGGGGCUCAGUAGUUGCCGUUCCCGGGCUUUAGAGCCCAGACUUAAAUAGUUGUGGUACAUGGGCUUGUGGAGUUAGUUGCUCUGGGGCAUGUGGAGUCUUUAGUGUCAGAGGUCAAACCCAAGUCUCCUGCAUUGGUAGGCAGACUUACACUGAGCCACCAGGGAAGGCCAAAAUUGCCUCUUCUUAAAGAACGCAAGGUGGUUCAUAGGUGGAUCAGAGUUCCACUCUUCAGAUGCAGGAAUAUGGGGGACACUCAUACUCAUUCCACAGAACAGGAUAUCUGGGUCACCCCUUCCCAGAGGGGCUGACGCAUGCGUAUGCUCUGCUUACGCUCGAGGGAAUUGGUAGCUGGAGGUAGUGCAGGACCCGCCGUACUGGGCAUGCUUUC